rnacentral:rRNA from 1 species
GACGAACGCUGGCGGCGUGCUUAACACAUGCAAGUCGAACGAUGAAGCUGGAGCUUGCUCCGGUGGAUUAGUGGCGAACGGGUGAGUAACACGUGAGCAAUCUGCCCUUCACUCUGGGAUAACUGCGGGAAACUGUAGCUAAUACCGGAUACGAGGCUUGGAGGCAUCUCCAGGUCUGGAAAGAAUUUCGGUGAAGGAUGAGCUCGCGGCCUAUCAGCUUGUUGGUGAGGUAAUGGCUCACCAAGGCGACGACGGGUAGCCGGCCUGGGAGGGUGACCGGCCACACUGGGACUGCGACACGGCCCAGACUCCUACGGGAGGCAGCAGUGGGGAAUAUUGCACAAUGGGCGAAAGCCUGAUGCAGCAACGCCGCGUGAGGGAUGAAGGCCUUCGGGUUGUAAACCUCUUUUAGCAGGGAAGAAGCGAAAGUGACGGUACCUGCAGAAAAAGCACCGGCUAACUACGUGCCAGCCGCCGCAGUAA